rnacentral:rRNA from 1 species
AUUGAACGCUGGCGGCAGGCCUAACACAUGCAAGUCGAGCGAGCGGCGGACGGGUGAGUAAUGUAUGGGGACUGCCCGAUAGAGGGGGAUAACUACUGGAAACGGUAGCUAAUACCGCAUACUAUCGGAUAACCCAUAUGGGAUUAGCAAGUAGGUGAGGUAAUGGCUCACCUAGGCAACGAUCCCUAGCUGGUCUGAGAGGAUGAUCAGCCACACUGGGAAGGAGAAGCGGCCCAGACUCCUACGGAGGCAGCAGUGGAGAGUAUUGAACAAUAGGCGCAAGCCUGUUGCAGCCAUGCCGCUUGUAUGAGGAAGGCCCUAGAGUUGUAAAGUACUAUCAGUCGGGAAGCGUUACCGUCAGAAGAAGCACCGGCUAACUCCGUGCCAGCAGCCGCGGUAAUUC